rnacentral:lncRNA from 1 species
AAAACUACCAAGUAAAAAAAACACGUAAUUCUCUUCUCCUUACUAUUGUUUUAUCUUGAAUCUCAUUAAUUUCUUUUCCAAACUUUCUCUAGGAACACACCUGUCCUGGUUAGCACAGGUGACCACAGCGUCUGCUUUUGACCUUCCCUGUUCCCCAUCAUCUAAACAGCUUUACCCAGUGCAUCUUCUGACAGUGCACUGGCUUUCAAUGGUGUUUGAUGGUGUUUGAUAAGAAUGGAAACCUCCACCCACUGCUUAACUAGCCUAGCCUACCCCUACAACCAGAGGAGUGAUAUUUAUAUAUACCUGGUAAAAUGUGAAGAAUUUGGAACCAGAAAGUGCUGGAGGGCUUUGAAAGCCAGGAGGCUAUGGCAACAGUGUGUGCACAGAACCAGCUCCUCCUUCAAUGCCUACAUGCUCCCAUCUUGUGCAGGGAGUAACUGCAAGAGGACAACAGGAUAAAGAACUCAUGUUAAUGCAGGUUUUACCCAAACAUUACUUGUUGCAUUGAAUUCUAGAAGAAGAAAGGUUAUUUCUAUUCCUUCAAUUGGUUCUGGAAAAGGGUAAAAUUUCAUGGUGAAGCUCUUCACCAUAUAACCAUAACCAUAACACCAUAUUAAAAUAUGACUUUCAGAGAAGCAUGUUCUUAAGGUUUUACCUUGAAUGGUAAGUAGAAUUUUUUUUUUUUUCAAAUAUAAGGGAAACGUAAAUUUCCAGAGAUAUUUUG